rnacentral:rRNA from 1 species
UGAAUACGAGAUGCUACGGCGUCGAAGCAGUCUAUGUCAUACUUCCAAGAAAAGCUCGCACUGUCAUAAACAAAUAAUGCCUGUACCAUAACCGACACAGGUGGGUAGGUAGAGUAUACUAAGGGGCGCGAGAUAACUCUCUCUAAGGAACUCGGCAAAAUGACUCCGUAACUUCGGGAGAAGGAGUGCCUUAUUUAUAAGGUUGCAAUAACAAGAUCCAAGCAACUGUUUAUCAAAAACACAGGUCUCCGCUAAGUCGUAAGACGAUGUAUGGGGGCUGACGCCUGCCCAGUGCCAGAAGGUUAAAGAAGUUGGUUUGCAUUCGCGAAGCUGAUAACUGAAGCCCUGGUGAACGGCGGCCGUAACUAUAACGGUCCUAAGGUAGCGAAAUUCCUUGUCGGGUAAGUUCCGACCCGCACGAAAGGCGUAAUGAUUUGGAUACUGUCUCGGAGAGGGGCUCGGUGAAAUAGACUUGUCUGUGAAGAUGCGGACUACCUGCACCAGGACAGAAAGACCCUAUGAAGCUUUACUGUAACUUGAGAUUGAAAUUGGACUUUACUUGCGCAGUAUAGGUGGGAGGCGUUGAUAAUAUUCUUGCGGGAUUAUUUGAGCCAUCAGUGAGAUACCACUCUUGUAAUGUUAGAUUUCUAACUUUGUAUCAUUAUCUGGUCAAAGGACAGUUUCAGGCGGGCAGUUUGACUGGGGCGGUCGCCUCCUAAACGGUAACGGAGGCGCACAAAGGUUUCCUCUGAACGGGUAGAAAUCGUAUCUAGAGUGUAAAGGCAUAAGGAAGCUUGACUGUGAGACCUACAAGUCGAGCAGGGACGAAAGUCGGUCUUAGUGAUCUGACGGUGCUGAGUGGAAAGGCCGUCACUCAACGGAUAAAAGUUACUCUAGGAUAACAGGCUGAUCUCCCCCAAGAGUUCACAUCGACGGGGAGGUUUGGCACCUCGAUGUCGGCUCAUCGCAUCCUGGGGCGGUAGUACGUCCCAAGGGUUGGGCUGUUCGCCCAUGAAAGCGGUACGCGAGCUGGUUCAGAACGUCGUGAGACAGUUCGGUCCAUAUCCGGUGUAGGCGUUAGAAUAUUGAGAGGAGCCUUCUUUAGUACGAGAGGACCGAGAAGGACAUACCUCUGGUGUACCAGUUAUCGUGCCAACGGUAAACGCUGGGUAGCUAUGUAUGGAGUGGAUAACCGCUGAAAGCAUCUAAGUGGGAAGCCCACCUCAAGAUAAGUAUUCUCAUC